UCAGGACGAACGCUGGCGGCGUGCUUAACACAUGCAAGUCGAACGGAAAGGCCCUUGCUUGCAGGGGUACUCGAGUGGCGAACGGGUGAGUAACACGUGGGUGAUCUGCCUUGUACUUCGGGAUAAGCCUGGGAAACUGGGUCUAAUACCGGAUAGGACCAUGCUUUAGUGUGUGUGGUGGAAAGUUUUUUCGGUACAAGAUGAGCCCGCGGCCUAUCAGCUUGUUGGUGGGGUAAUGGCCUACCAAGGCGACGACGGGUAGCCGGCCUGAGAGGGUGUACGGCCACAUUGGGACUGAGACACGGCCCAGACUCCUACGGGAGGCAGCAGUGGGGAAUAUUGCACAAUGGGCGCAAGCCUGAUGCAGCGACGCCGCGUGAGGGAUGACGGCCUUCGGGUUGUAAACCUCUUUCGCUAGGGAAGAAGCCAUGUUGUGGUGACGGUACCUGGAUAAGAAGCACCGGCUAACUACGUGCCAGCAGCCGCGGUAAUACGUAGGGUGCGAGCGUUGUCCGGAAUUACUGGGCGUAAAGAGCUCGUAGGUGGUUUGUCGCGUCGUCUGUGAAAUCCCGGGGCUUAACUCCGGGCGUGCAGGCGAUACGGGCAUAACUGGAGUGCUGUAGGGGAGACUGGAAUUCCUGGUGUAGCGGUGAAAUGCGCAGAUAUCAGGAGGAACACCGAUGGCGAAGGCAGGUCUCUGGGCAGUA
rnacentral:rRNA from 1 species